rnacentral:rRNA from 1 species
UACGUAGGGUGCAAGCGUUGUCCGGAAUUAUUGGGCGUAAAGAGCUCGUAGGCGGUCUGUCGCGUCGGCUGUGAAAUCCCGAGGCUCAACCUCGGGUCUGCAGUCGAUACGGGCAAACUGGAGUGUUGCAGGGGAGACUGGAAUUCCUGGUGUAGCGGUGAAAUGCGCAGAUAUCAGGAGGAACACCGGUGGCGAAGGCGGGUCUCUGGGCAACAACUGACGCUGAGGAGCGAAAGCGUGGGGGGCGAACAGG